CACCAUCCCCGACGAGGAGAUCCUCGCCAAGGUCAAGGCGGCCAUGGACUUCCGCCCCGGUCCCGUCGGCCGCGACCUCGACCUCAAGAGGUCCACCUCCAAGACCUCCGGCAAGAACAACCGCUACCAGCAGACCGCCGCGUACGGCCACUUCGGCCGCGACGAUUACGACGUGUUCACCUGGGAGAAGCCCGUGGCUCUCUAAGCGCAUAUAUAAAUACCUUUAAGGUGUGAUAUUACGCUUAGUUGAGGUUUAGGGGGUUGAUUCGGCCGGGGGGGGAAACUUAGGACGCGCUAUUACGAACUGCUAC
rnacentral:lncRNA from 1 species